rnacentral:rRNA from 1 species
GAUGAACGCUAGCGGCAGGCUUAACACAUGCAAGUCGAGGGGUAGAAGUUGCUUGCAACUUUGAGACCGGCGCACGGGUGCGUAACGCGUAUGCAAUCUACCUUAUACAGAGGGAUAGCCCAGAGAAAUUUGGAUUAAUACCUCAUAGUAUAAUUGAAUGCAUCAUUUAAUUAUUAAAGUUCCAACGGUAUAAGAUGAGCAUACGUCCUAUUAACUAGAUGGUAAGGUAACGGCUUACCAUGGCAACGAUAGUUAGAGGUCCUGAGAGGGAGAUCCCCCACACUGGUACUGAGACACGGACCAGACGCCUACGGGAGGCAGCAGUGAGGAAUAUUGGAAAAUGGGCGCAAGCCUGAUCCCGCCAUGCCGCGUGCAGGAAGAAGCAUCUAUGGUGUGUAAACUGCUUUUGUACGGGAAGAAACACCCCUUCGUGAAGGGACUUGACGGUACCGUAAGAAUAAGGAUCGGCUAACUCCGUGCCAGCCGCCGCCGUAACAC